UAAGGAAUAUUGCUCAAUGGGAGAAAUCCUGAAGCAGCAACGCCGCGUGGAGGAUGAAGGGUCUAUGACUUGUAAACUCCUGUAAAGAAGGAAAAAAUUCCCAUUAGAUGGGAGAUGAUGGUACUUCUGGAGUAAGCCCCGGCUAACUACGUGCCAGCAGCCGCGGUAAUACGUAGGGGGCAAGCGUUGUCCGGAUUUACUGGGUGUAAAGGGUGCUCAGGCGGAUUUGUAAGUCAGAGGUGAAAUCUUACAGCUUAACUGUGAAACUGCCUUUGAUACUGCAAGCCUAGAGUAUGGAAGAGAGUGAUGGAAUAUCUGGUGUAGCAGUGAAAUGCGUAGAUAUCAGAUAGAACACCUAUGGCGAAGGCAGUCACUUGGUCCAUUACUGACGCUAAAGCACGAAGGCGUGGGUAGCAAACA
rnacentral:rRNA from 1 species